CGGCGGCGUUUUUGGACACUUCGAUCCCCUUUUCGUUCUCAGACAGAAUCACGACUUUAACCACAGACAAACGGAUGGGAUUCUCUAUGCUGGCGUGCCCGUAGAGUUUGGACGCGAUGGACGCCAGUGUCAACAGUUUACCUGAUCUCUCUGCUCCUCGAUCUCCACCAUUCCGGAACUCCACUGCCUCUCCACUCCUUCAGCCCCAUGGAUUCCCUGGAAAGGAAUUGGACAUUACUACACAGAUAAGAACCAAGAGACUUCUCCCACUCCCUGCUCACUUCCCUUAUGAAUGAGGUGUUCCGGAAGUUCUUUCAUAAAUUUGUCAUCGUCUACACCGACAACAUCCUGAAUUACUUCUGACACCUGGCCAAACAUCGCCACCAUGUCACAAAGGUCCUACAUCAACUCAGGAAACACCAUCUCUGCCUGAAGCUUGAGAAGUGUAAAUUCCACCUCCCCACGGUCCACUUCCUUGGAUACAUACCCAGUGCAGAUGGCAUUCUGAUGGACCAGGGGAAUGUCCAAGCCAUCUGUGGCUGGCCCCCACCCUCAGUCAGUCAAGGAACUCAAACGAUUCCUAAGCUUUCCCAAUUUCUACUGGUGAUUCAUCCAGAACUUAAGUAUCCUCCUCUGCCCCCCUCACUACCAUGCUCCAUCAAAAACCCAAGUCUCUGUCCCUGAACCCCAAAGAAAGUUUUCUUACAGAACUCCAGGAAACCUUCUGUACUGCCCCCAAUCCCAUACACCCAGAUCCCCAACUCCCAUUCGUCAUGGAAGUAGAUGCCUGCACUACCGGUAUGGAGGCAGUACUAUCCUAGUACCACUGAGAGCCUCUAUGACUCCAUCCUUACACCUAUUACUCACAGAAGCUUUGCCCAGUGGAACGUUACUAUGACAUCGGACACCGUGAAUUGCUUGCCAUUAAGCUGUCUCUGGAGGAAUGGCUGCACUGGCUGGAGUGAGCACAACACCCCUUUAUGGUAAUCACAGAUCACAAGAACCUCCAGUAUCUUUGCAGCGCCACAAAGCUAAAAACCAGACAGGCCCUCUAGUUCUUCUUCUUUACCUCGAUCCAAUUCAUCAUCACUUACAGACCCGGAGACAAGAAUGACAAGGCAGAUUCACUCUCUCGGGUGCAUGCUCCAGAUGUAAACCCCACACUGGAACCCAUACUCCCUCUGGCCAUCCUUGUUAACCCCUUGUGGUGGGCACUGGAUGACCAAAUCCUCCUCGGUGCUCAGACCGAAUCCACUCCACUGGGAGGCCCAGAAGGUAAAACCUACAUAGCUAAGUCCUUACAGUCCUCCCUUCUGGGCUGCAGUGUCUGUGCAUUUAUUUGCAAUCAAGUCAACAAUAUCGCUGUAGAUGAAGUGACCCCAACUAAGCAAGCCAGAGGUGACAGCGGCAAGGAACCGAAACUCCAUUGGUGACAGAAUGGAGAAAAAUCAUCUUCUCCCAAUGGGAGGACGUCUCCCAUUAUAUCUGUGGAUGCUCAGUCCGUGCCAUUACCAACACUCCACAUCUGCCCGCUGGAAAACUGGUCCCAUUACCCAUUCUUCGUCAUACCUGGUCCCACAUCGGAGUUGACUUUGUGACCGAAAUCCCCAAUUGAGGUGGAUAUACCUGCAUUAUCAUUGCAGUAGACAGAUUCUCCAAGGCCUGCAAGUUAAUUUCCCUUUCGGGGUUUACACACAGCCCAAGAAACUGCAGAAGCUCUCUUUCAUCAUGUCUUAUGCAACUUCGAUAUCCCGGGGGAUGUUUUCUCCAAACGUGGGCCCCAGUUCAUCUCUAAUAUCUGGAGGGCUUUCUUCAAGAUCCUCGGUGUCAAUGUGAGCCUUUCCUCAGGAUAUCAACCCCAGACAAAUGGACAGAUUGAGUGGAAGAUACUGGAGAUUAGUAGAUGUCUCCGGGCUUACUGUCACGACAACCAGCUGGAACUGAUUCCUCCCAUGGGAAUUCCCUCAAGCAAACUACCAGUGCAUACUCGGCUACCAACACCCUCUAUUCCCCUGGAUAGAAGAACCCUCUGAAGUUCCAACUGUAGACCACUGGUUUCGGGUGAGCGAGAGAGGUGUCCAAUUCCUGGUUCUGGGUGUCCAUUGUCUAUUGUCCACCAUAUCUACUUUCCUUUAGCCCCACGGAUUCAUAGGAAAGGAAUUGGACAUUACCACUCGGAUAAGAACCAUGAGACUUCUGCCACUCCCCACUCACUUAGCUGGAUACUCCUUGCUCUGUGUUCAAUAAACCUGCUGUUUAUUUUCACAUUA